UGAUGAUCUUGCUCAUGGUGUUCAGAUCUG
rnacentral:piRNA from 1 species